CCUACGGGCGGCUGCAGUGGGGAAUAUUGGACAAUGGGGGGAACCCUGAUCCAGCCAUGCCGCGUGUGUGAAGAAGGCCCUCGGGUUGUAAAGCACUUUCAGCGAGGAAGAACGCCUGGUGGUUAAUACCCAUCAGGAAAGACAUCACUCACAGAAGAAGCACCGGCUAACUCCGUGCCAGCAGCCGCGGUAAUACGGAGGGUGCGAGCGUUAAUCGGAAUUACUGGGCGUAAAGCGCGCGUAGGUGGCUUGAUAAGCCGGUUGUGAAAGCCCCGGGCUCAACCUGGGAACGGCAUCCGGAACUGUCAAGCUAGAGUGCAGGAGAGGAAGGUAGAAUUCCCGGUGUAGCGGUGAAAUGCGUAGAGAUCGGGAGGAAUACCAGUGGCGAAGGCGGCCUUCUGGACUGACACUGACACUGAGGUGCGAAAGCGUGGGUAGCAAACAGGAUUAGAUACCCUAGUAGUC
rnacentral:rRNA from 1 species